GUGCUAAGUGUUGGAGGGUUUCCGCCCUUCAGUGCUGCAGCAAACGCAUUAAGCACUCCGCCUGGGGAGUACGACCGCAAGGUUGAAACUCAAAGGAAUUGACGGGGGCCCGCACAAGCGGUGGAGCAUGUGGUUUAAUUCGAAGCAACGCGAAGAACCUUACCAGGUCUUGACAUCCUUUGACCACUCUAGAGAUAGAGCUUUCCCUUCGGGGACAAAGUGACAGGUGGUGCAUGGUUGUCGUCAGCUCGUGUCGUGAGAUGUUGGGUUAAGUCCCGCAACGAGCGCAACCCUUAUUGUUAGUUGCCAUCAUUUAGUUGGGCACUCUAGCGAGACUGCCGGUGACAAACCGGAGGAAGGUGGGGAUGACGUCAAAUCAUCAUGCCCCUUAUGACCUGGGCUACACACGUGCUACAAUGGGAAGUACAACGAGUCGCUAGACCGCGAGGUCAUGCAAAUCUCUUAAAGCUUCUCUCAGUUCGGAUUGCAGGCUGCAACUCGCCUGCAUGAAGCCGGAAUCGCUAGUAAUCGCGGAUCAGCACGCCGCGGUGAAUACGUUCCCGGGCCUUGUACACACCGCCCGUCACACCACGAGAGUUUGUAACACCCGAAGUCGGUGAGGUAACCUUUUUGGAGCCAGCCGCCUAAGGUGGGAUAGAUGAUUGGGGUGAAGUCGUAACAAGGUAGCCGUAUCGGAAGGUGCGGCUGGAUCACCUCCUUUCUAAGGAA
rnacentral:rRNA from 1 species